CAUAUACUACAUGAUCAUCCCUUGUAAUCCCUAAAUCUGUAAUUCCUAAAAAUGCUAUGAGAUUAUGGCUACGCGGUGUUGUCUUGGGAACAGUGACCUGAAAAAAGUGGUGUGUACGUGUUCAGUGCAGAUACAACUUUUGUUUAAAUAUUUUUGAUUUGUGUUGGUUAAGUCCACAAAUGCAGGACCUGCAGGCUCAAAAGGUGGAACGGAAUGCAUUCUCUGUGCAGAAACACUUUCCAUCUACACUAUUAUAGCAUAUCUGUAUAAACUGUACAAAACUGUGUAUAUGUGAGUACAUACGUGUGUGUGUGUGUGUGUGUGUGUGUGUGUGUGUGGAGUGCCCAUUGUGUAGUCGGCCCUGUUGUAAGUCCCUUACAUUUUUCUUCACUACAAAGCAGAUUUUUUUUUUUUUUUUUUUUUUUUUUUUUUUUUUUUUUUUUUUUUGUACCAGGGAUCGAACUCGGGUCCUUGUGCAAAGUCGAUUCUUUUUCAGAGAUGAGGAAACUGAAGCAUGCAGAGAUUCCCUUGCCCAGUGUCACACAGUGUCCAUCCAGUGGAGAUGAGGUUCCAGCCCAGGUCAUCCAGUGUGUCUGCCUCUGGAUCUGCUGCCUUGGGUCCAGCGUGAUCCAUCUUAGCAGCUCACGUCACUCCUGUACAGCAUCUCACUGGCUUCCCCGUCCACCAAAGCAACAAGCUACCCACGUACAGAGUCUGCAGGGCCCUCUGGGUCUGGCUCUGGAGCUGUUUCCUGCUGUGAUGCCCCCAGCCCCCUCUUCUCUGUCACAGGCACCCCUCUCUCCCAGACCUUCACACGUGUUGCUUCUGGCAGCUCCUCCUCCAGUACCUGCCACACUCCAACCGACCUUCUUUUCCUCCAAGCUCUACACACAGGUCACCUUUUUAGGUCACUGUGCUGUGAAUACGUGCACCUGCGCUACUCCCUGGAUCCCCUCUGCCUGCUUGACUUUGGAGCAUUAGUCACCACCCAAUGCUUCAUGCUUUGUUUAUUUAUUUUAUUCAGAAUGUAAGCUCCAUGAGAAGUUUGUGUCUGUACCCUCACACCUACAAGAGCACCAGGUACAUGGCCAGGCAAGGUGGUGCCUGGUGCAUUUGGGAGGCUGAAGCAGGAGGAUGGUGAGUGUGAGGGCAGCCUGCGAUACUUAGUGAGACUGGCUUAUUAUUAUUAUUAUUAUUAUUUUUUUUUAAAGCCGGGAAUAGAGUAGGCACAAGACAAAUGAGUGGAUGGGUGAAUAGAUAAUGGGGCAGAAGGGGUUUUCAUCACUGAUGUGUCAGGAAUGGGGUUCCAAGGGAGGAGGCAGGCAUUUAUUGGAGGUGCUGCCAUCCUGCAGAAGGGGGAGCGAUCCCUGGGCUUGGGGUGCGUGCUGCCGAAUCACAGGCCACUGGCUGGAUUAUUUUUACAGAAUAACAACGCAUGUCACAGCACCAGGUGAACUGCACAGAAUGCUAUAGAGUUGAUCCUAGAAUUGGGAGAAAAGAGAAAGGAAACGUAACUUCCAUCUUACUUGGGGAGCAUGAAUGCUAAUUAAAAC
rnacentral:lncRNA from 1 species